rnacentral:rRNA from 1 species
ACUCCGAAACCCCUGUGAACAUACCAAUUGUUGCCUCGGCGGAUCAGCCCGCUCCCGGUAAAACGGGACGGCCCGCCAGAGGACCCCUAAACUCUGUUUCUAUAUGUAACUUCUGAGUAAAACCAUAAAUAAAUCAAAACUUUCAACAACGGAUCUCUUGGUUCUGGCAUCGAUGAAGAACGCAGCAAAAUGCGAUAAGUAAUGUGAAUUGCAGAAUUCAGUGAAUCAUCGAAUCUUUGAACGCACAUUGCGCCCGCCAGUAUUCUGGCGGGCAUGCCUGUUCGAGCGUCAUUUCAACCCUCAAGCCCCCGGGUUUGGUGUUGGGGAUCGGCGAGCCCUUGCGGCAAGCCGGCCCCGAAAUCUAGUGGCGGUCUCGCUGCAGCUUCCAUUGCGUAGUAGUAAAACCCUCGCAACUGGUACGCGGCGCGGCCAAGCCGUUAAACCCCCAACUUCUGAAUGUUGACCUCGGAUCAGGUAGGAAUACCCGCUGAACUUAAGCAUAUCAAUAGCCGGAGGAA